UACGGGGGGGGCAAGCGUUGUUCGGAAUUACUGGGCGUAAAGGGCUCGUAGGUGGCCAACUAAGUCAGACGUGAAAUCCCUCGGCUUAACCGGGGAACUGCGUCUGAUACUGGACGGCUUGAGUAUGGGAGAGGGAUGUAGAAUUCCAGGUGUAGCGGUGAAAUGCGUAGAUAUCUGGAGGAAUACCGGUGGCGAAGGCGGCAUCCUGGACCAUUACUGACGCUGAGGCGCGAAAGCUAGGGGAGCAAACGGG
rnacentral:rRNA from 1 species